UACGUCACACGUAGGGAUUGGAUUCUGAAGGAGAAACUUGCCCGCUCGAUACGUCAACGCCAGAGAAGCUGGCUAUCGCCUCCCUUGGAUGACAUAUCCAGCAGCAGCACAAUCGAGAGAUGCCCCACUGAUGCAUAAACAAACUGGGACAGCCUGCCAAACGGACAUCUGUGGGAUAUAAUAAGAUAUGAUUAACGUGCAUGCUUGACAUCGAAAAUGAAGCGUAAAGGCGAGAGGAGGCGACCAGAGUCUAGAAAAAAGCGCUGUUCAGCUCACAGCUCAGAGGCGGAGCAUAACAAGUCUGAUAUUUACAUUGGGAUAACAGACCAACUCUAUUUCGCCGUACUCCAGCAGAAGAUUAAAAGCACAUCCGAACGUCACUCUUUCUGUGUAGACGAUGAGCUGGUAUACGAGAACUUCUAUGCGGACUUUGGCCCCCUUAACCUGGCCAUGUUUUAUCGUUUCUGUUGCAAACUCACCAAGAAGCUCAAGUCCAUUACGCUCUGUAGGAAGAAGAUUCUCUUCUAUACCUGUGGAGACCAUAAGAAGCAAGCCAAUGCUGCUUACCUGAUCGGCUCCUAUGCUGUAUUGCAUCUUCACAUGACCCCAGAGGAGGCAUCCAGUUUACUUGUCUCCAAGAAUUCAACAUAUCUUCCAUUUAGAGAUGCCUCAUUUGGAACAUGCUUGUACAAUCUGAGCAUUCUGGACUGCCUUCAUGCCAUCCAGAAGGCAGUGGAGUUUAGCUGGCUUGACUUCACCAACUUUGAUGUGGAGGAGUAUGAACAUUACGAGAGAGCAGAAAAUGGGGACUUUAACUGGAUUAUUCCAGGCAAGUUCCUCGCUUUCAGUGGGCCCCAUCCGAAGAGCAAAAUAGAGAAUGGAUACCCGCUCCACGCCCCCGAAGCCUACUUCCCUUACUUCAGGAAGCACAACGUUACCACUAUCGUACGGCUCAACAAGAAGAUGUACGACGCAAGGCGCUUCACCGACUCCGGCUUCGAGCACCACGACCUGUUCUUCGUGGACGGCAGCACGCCCACUGACGCCAUCGUCAGGAAGUUCCUGAACAUCUGUGAGAAUGCAGAAGGCGCCAUAGCUGUCCACUGCAAAGCUGGUCUGGGGCGUACAGGCACUCUGAUCGCCUGCUACAUGAUGAAGCAUUACCAUCUUACAGCAGCGGAGGCCAUCGCCUGGAUACGGAUCUGCCGCCCGGGGUCUGUUAUUGGGCCCCAGCAGAACUAUGUCGAAGAUAAGCAGGCCGGCAUGUGGACAGAAGGGGAUGGCUUCAAGGAGAAGAUGCUGGAUGAGCAGGAGAACGGCAAGAUGGCCGUCACCCGGAUCCUAUCUGGGGUGGAUGACAUCACCAUCAACGGCAGCAACAAUAAGAGAACGCCCAAAAAUGAGCAGAAAAUGGAACUGUAUAACGAUGAGGAGGAGAGGAAUGGUGUGACACAAGGUGACAAACUGCGAGCACUGAAGAGCAAGAGGCAGUCCAGAUCAUCUACUGGUUCACUAUCGCAGAUGGUAGUGUUCUGCUGCAGCCUCAUGGGGGCGCUGUGGCCCGUGUGUUGCCUGCCGUUCAAAAGAUAGCAGUGAGAGACAGAGGGAAUGAGGGACAUAACAGACAGACAGGCUGGAUUGAUGGAUGGGAGGUUUUGUAUGGCGCAGGUAAGUGUCACUUACCUUUGCUAACUGCCAGCCACUCCCUGUAGAAAUAGUUUGCUAUGCCGACGGUAUGGCUAAUGACAAAAAAAAAAGUUUUGCCUUGCUGAUCACUGCCAUUGCUCAGCUAAUCAUGGUUCUACCUGAUGGGAGGCCCUUGAUUGGCUGAAUCAGAUGCCUGUCAUGCUUGGCUGGCCAUACUGACUGGGAACUACUACGUCUUAAAAGAUGAAUGUAAACGGUAAAGAUUUCUUAUAGAACUGACUGGUUGCGAUGCUUACAGAUUUUAAGCCAUUGUGCCUUUUUGGUUUGUCCAAAAUGGUACAAAGCAGUUGGCCAUGAAAUUGAGCGAAUAUUAGGUGUAAGGCUAGCCGCAAUUUAAUAUUUUUUUUCCUCCUCUAAAAUAUUUUGAUCUUUUGAAUUCAGAAGGAUACAUUGAGUUCCUGCGCAGGUAUAUCGGGAUAAGAUGCAUUUGUAUAAUUUUCCCAGUGAACGUGUGGAACAUGUGGGAUAUCAAGGCUGAUCUUUACCACUUGGCUGCACUGUCUGUUUAUCAUGCACUCUGCUGGAGUGGAUGCCAACGUGCAACGGGGAUUAGAAUGGGAGGAGAACUGAAUGUGUGUUUCUGUUUCCAAUGCAUGGCAUCAAGCCUGAGACACCGGGACUUGCGUGCAUGAGCAUGCCUCUCUGUGUUUGAUCGAUGCAUUAACACGCGUUUAAAUCUGCAGAGUUCACUGUUCAACUGUCUGUUGUUGUUCUUUCAUCGCUUGGGGGACUGUCCCAGUUUACCUGCCGAGUUCAGAAUAGAAUGAAAACAACUGCUGUAUGUGUUCUGAUAUGACGGUUCCAACCAACUAUGCAUGAAAUGCAAAGAAAAACGUGUUGCUUGCAAGACUCCGCAGGAGGCACCAGAGCUUGUCCAGUUACAGUUGAUAGAAGCAAAGCAAAAUAACAAAACCAAAAACUAAAGGCUUUCCGUCCUGCCCGGGCGCCCUUUGUCUCUCCUUCCCUCUCUUUUUUCCUUUUUUUGUCUUUUUCCUUUUGCUCUUUUGUUUGGAUUUGUCCUCCUUUCAGAUGGCUGGUAGCCAUGCUGCUCUUGUCCAUGUCUAGCCUUGCCCUGUGGUGGAUUGUGUAUGGCUUCCCUUCUCCCCUCCUGCAUUUCUGUAUAGACGGGGGUUAGGAUUUCUGUGAACUCUACUGCCCGCCCGCCUGAACCCAAAACCUUUGCCCUGCCCCUCCUUUCUGGACUCAUAAGUAAGAAUGCCGUAGGCAAGGAGAAAACAAGAUUCACACCAGGUCAUCCUCCCUCUCUCCAAG